rnacentral:rRNA from 1 species
AACGAACGCUGGCGGCAUGCCUAACACAUGCAAGUCGAACGAGACCUUCGGGUCUAGUGGCGCACGGGUGCGUAACGCGUGGGAACCUGCCCUUAGGUUCGGAAUAACUCCCCGAAAGGGGUGCUAAUACCGGAUAAUGUCUUCGGACCAAAGAUUUAUCGCCUUUGGAUGGGCCCGCGUUGGAUUAGCUAGUUGGUAGGGUAAAAGCCUACCAAGGCGACGAUCCAUAGCUGGUCUGAGAGGAUGAUCAGCCACACUGGGACUGAGACACGGCCCAGACUCCGACGGGAGGCAGCAGUGGGGAACAUUGGACAAUGGGCGAAAGCCUGAUCCAGCAAUGCCGCGUGAGUGAUGAAGGCCUUAGGGUUGUAAAGCUCUUUUACCCGGGAUGAUAAUGACAGUACCGGGAGAAUAAGCUCCGGCGAACUCCGU